UUGAGAAGAAUGUACUGUUCACAAAGGCAAAACAGGGAACAACAACUACUUCAUAUGGGAAGAAGAGGUUGAAGUCAUUGGUUUUAUUAAUGCUGGUGACGGAAAUCAAU